rnacentral:rRNA from 1 species
GAUGAACGCUGGCGGCGUGCCUAAUACAUGCAAGUCGAGCGAACAGACGAGGAGCUUGCUCCUCUGACGUUAGCGGCGGACGGGUGAGUAACACGUGGAUAACCUACCUAUAAGACUGGGAUAACUUCGGGAAACCGGAGCUAAUACCGGAUAAUAUAUUGAACCGCAUGGUUCAAUAGUGAAAGACGGUUUUGCUGUCACUUAUAGAUGGAUCCGCGCCGCAUUAGCUAGUUGGUAAGGUAACGGCUUACCAAGGCGACGAUGCGUAGCCGACCUGAGAGGGUGAACGGCCACACUGGAACUGAGACACGGUCCAGACUCCUACGGGAGGCAGCAGUAGGGAAUCUUCCGAAAUGGGCGAAAGCCUGACGGAGCAACGCCGCGUGAGUGCUGAAGGUCUUCGGAUCGUAAAACUCUGUUAUUAGGGAAGAACAAAUGUGUAAGUAACUAUGCACGUCUUGACGGUACCUAAUCAGAAAGCCACGGCUAACUACGUG